rnacentral:lncRNA from 1 species
UUCUUUAUUCCGAACUUCUAUUUGGUGACAACUGUUAAUCAUGACGCAUCCAAGAUCGACACAACUCAGAGCACUUGUUAAAAACACUUUAUGAUUCCUUUCAUUCAAACCUUUAAGUUGUUGGUCAAUGCAAAUGGGAAUAUCUUUUUACUCUGUUAAUCUUUUUCUCCAUUUGCCAUUCAGCUUUUACUAUGCAGUAUAUAUAGACUCUAAAUAGUAAAUAGUCUAUUAAUCAGCUUAUCUUCUGACAAGAGCUGAACAUUGAUAAUACUUCUAUCUUUCAUUAAGGUAUCUGUAGUGAUGUGUGUCAAGGGCUGAGAGCCCGAGAGCAGGGGGACCUCGGCUACGUAGAUCGUAGCCGCUGUCCGUGGUGGCCGGCAGGGUUAUGCCCCCUUGCCGCCGUUCUUCGUCGGUGGGUUAUUCCCCCAGCCGCCGGCUUAGGUAGAAGAAGGGGAGAUUAGAUGGUAAUAUCUUUCUUAUCCCAAGAGUUUGAUUACAGCAUAUCUAUAUAGCCUUUGCCUCAGCCAAACAGGUAACAAACUCUACUAAAUAAGGAAUAACCAAAAUAGCUAAAAGAUCUCCUAAGAUCUCCUACCGAGAUCUCCUACUUGCCCUCCAAGCCGAAGCUGGAAACCGUGCCCUGCGUGCCUGCCGCGCGUUCCUGGGCUCGGCGUAUGUCACGGGCCCUAUGACGCCUGGUGUACACUUGUUUGAACAUGACAUCUCCCUCCCCGUCGAGAGCCAGCUCGUCCUCGAGCGGGAAUUGGGGAAACCUGGUGCGGAGCUGAGCGACAUCUUCCCAGGUUGCUGAUGCUGCCGUCGCUCCCUUCCACUGGAUGAGUACCUGAUGGACGCCGCGAGCCAGGCGAUACCGCACCGCGCGCUCAGGUUCUGGGCUAACAGCGCCAUGAUGCAGUAGCGGCAAUGGAGAAGGCGCGGUUGGCGGCGGCCCGGGAUACUUCUUGAGCAGCCCCACAUGGAACACAUUGUGGAUGCGAGCGCGGGGAGGAAGCUCCAGCCGAACGGCGACCUCGUUGAUAAGUUCGGAGACGCGGUAUGGUCCAAAGAAGCGCGGCUUCAGUUUGCCGCCCACAGCCUGAGGAAGAGAUGUGGCCCCGCGCUGACGGAGUCGAAGCAGCGCCCAAUCGCCGACCUGAUAGGUGACCUCGCGGUGCGCCCGGUCGUAGUGGCGCUUUUGGUAUGCCUGUGCCUGCUCCAGACGGUAGCGGAUGUCUUCCAGGAAUUCCUUGCGCUCCUCCAUGCUCUUGGCAAUAGCCGGCACCCUGGUGUCCCCAAGUUCAUAGGACCGGAUGGAAGGAGGAUCAUGCCCGUAGACCACACGGAAAGGAGUAUCCCGCAGGGACGUCUGGUAAGCCGUGUUGAAUAGAAACUCCGCCCAUGGAAGCCACCUGAGCCAGUCUCGUGGCCUGUCACCAGUCAAACACCGCAGAUACAUGAUAAUGACACGGUUAGCUGACUCAGACUGGCCGUCGGACUGGGGGUGGAACGCCGUUGUCAUCUGCAGCUUGGUCCCCAUGAGCCGCAUCAACUCCUGCCAAAACGUCGACGUGAACACCGUGUCCCGGUCAGAUACCAUGGACUGUGGAAUCCCGUGGAGGCGGACGAUGUCGUUGAAGAACGCCUGGGCGACGGAUUCAGCUGAGUACGGAUGUGCCAAUGGAAUGAAAUGACAGUACUUGCUGAACCUAUCCACCACGGUGAGGAUUACAGACUUGCCGCGGACUCGUGGUAGCGCCUCCACAAAGUCGAGCGCGACAUCCGUCCACACACCCUGGGGAACCGGCAGUGGCAGGAGGAGACCCGCAGGGUGCUGGUGUUCGGACUUGUAGCGUUGGCAAACUUCACACGUGCGCACCCUGUCCUGCACAACUUGCUUCAUGUUAGGAAAAUGGAAGUCACGGCGCAGCCGGUGGAGCGUUCGCUGUACGCCUUCGUGUCCGUCGUCGUGUAUGGCCCCCACAAUUUGCUGCAGCAGCGGGGAGUCGGCUGGAAUGUACAGGCGCCCAGAAAAUUGCACCAUGCCGUCCACCAGCGCCCAGGGAGGUGAUCGGGUGCCUGCUGCAAUCUCGCCCUGGAGAGCGACAAGGGCUGGGUGUUCCAGCUGUGCCUGCCGGAGCUUGGCGAUGAAGUCGAAACGCGGGGUAGAAAGAGCAAGAAGCUCGCCGUCUGCAGUGUCGCGUCUGGACAGCGCGUCGGCGACUGCGUUCGUCGCGCCGGGCUUGUAUUCUACGGCGAAGUCGAAGCCCAGCAGUUUGCCAACCCAGUGGUGCUGCGGAAUGGUGGCCAAGCGCUGGUCCAGCAGGUACUUCAAGCUGUAGUGAUCUGUCUUGACAGUGAAACGGCGCCCCCAGAGGUAUGGUCGCCAGUGGCGUACUGCCUGAACCAGACCAAUAAGCUCACGCUCGUAGGCAGCCAGGGCUUGAUGUCGAGGCGCCACCGGACGGCUGAAGAAGGCGAUGGGAUGUCCGUCCUGGAUGAGGACAGCCCCAAACCCAUGAGACGACGCGUCGCACUCGACGACGAAGGCCUUGUCGAAGUCCGGCAUAGCGAGCACCGGCGCCGAGGUGACCGCUUCCUUGAGAGCGAGGAAAGCCGAGGCCGGCUCACGUCCCCACGCGAAGCCCUCCUUGAGUAGCGCAGUGAGCGGCGCGGCGAUGGAUCCGUAGUUGUGGAUGAACUUGCGGUAGUACCCCGCAAGGCCAAGGAAACCGCGCACCGCCCGCGCCGAACGAGGAAGUGGCCAGUCGUGUAUGGCCUGCACCUUGGCGGAGUCCAUGGCCACCCCCGCCACCGAGAUCGUGUGGCUGAGGUAGGCGACUGAGGUGACCCCGAACGCACACUUGGAACGCUUGACGAAGAGGGUGUGCUGACGAAGCUCGGUGAGGACAGCGUGGAGAUGACGCAGGUGGUCGGCCCAUGACUUGCUGUGGAUCAAGAUGUCAUCAAAGAAAACAAGUACAAACCGGCGAAGAAACGGGCGUAAGACGUCGUUCAUGAGCGCCUGAAAUGUGGCCGGGGCGUUGCAGAGGCCGAACGGCAUCACCAGGAAUUCGUAGAGGCCGUCGUGAGUGCGAAACGCUGUUUUGUGAACAUCUUCCGGCCGCAUGCGCACUUGAUGGUAUCCUGAACGCAAAUCGAGCUUGGUGAAGUACUUGGCGCCAUGGAGCUCAUCCAAGAGCUCGUCGACGACGGGAAUCGGAAACGCGUCCUUGACUGUUACCGCGUUGAGGGCGCGGUAGUCGACGCAGAACCUCCACGAGCCGUCCGGUUUCUUGACGAGCAGGACUGGCGAGGAGAAGGCGGAGUCGCUGCGCCGGACUAUGCCAUUCGCGAUCAUGGUCGCGCGCUGGUUCUCCAGCUCCGUCUUGUGAGCAACCGGAUAUCUGUAAGGCCGCACUGCCACCGGCACGGUGUCUGGCUUAAGGAUGAUGCGGUGUGCCCGGCCACGUGCGGGAGGCAGGCCCGUUGGCUCGGCGAACACGUCGAUGAAGGAGGCCAGCAACUCGUCGAGGAGGGGCUCGGCCAGGGAGGUCGAGUGGACGCGCGGAGGUGUUGGUGGUGCGACGCUACGCCAGCAGACCUGCUGGUCCGCCACCUUGAACUCCAUGGUCCCUGCUGCCACAUUCCAGACAAUAUCACCCAGGGUGGCUAGCAAUGCGUGCCGAGCACCAGAUCAUAUCCGGCCAGGGGCAUGAUGUACAAAUCGACUGCGAACGGCCUGCUGUCGAUGAUGAUGGGCGCCUGACGUAGAACAUCUGGGCAGGCGAUCUGUUCGCCGUUGGCGACGGUUGCAGUCAGCCGAGGCCGCGGCUCGACUGGCAGGCCAGCCCGUUGCGCGGCUAUCUCCCCGAUGAAGCAGUGGGUGGAGCCCGUGUCGAUGAGGGCGAUCAAUGUAGCGGCGCCCACCUGCACCUCAAGUUGUAGGGUGCCGCACACUGGCACGCCAGCGACAACGUGGAGGGAGUAGACGGGUGCCUCCUCAGCUGGCUCUUCCUCAGCCAGUUCAACGCCGUCGAUGUAGAAGAUGCGGCGGCAUACCCUAUUGUGGCCGCGUGAGUACGGCUCGUUGCAGUUAUAACAGAGCCCGAGACGGCGCCUUUCGGUUUGUUCCUCUGGCGAGAGACGCUUGCCCCCGCUGCUUGGAGGUGGCGGCGCGGGUAGUGCCAGGGGCGGCGCCGAGGGCGCAGGCAGCGCUUGGAGUGCGGGCGCCGGUCGGGCGGGCGCUGGAAGGGCCGCCAAGGCGCCUGGACGUGGAACGGCCGGGGGUGCGGUCGCGCGCUGCACCGCUUUGCCGGGGGCGGAAUUGAGGUGGUCAAGCUCGACCAGUUCCAGGACCCGAGCCAGACUCAUGGCCGCCGCCAGAGUCUUUGGCGCGUGGAUGCGCACCUGGUGGCUGAGCGGGGGCAGCAAACCGCCGGUGUAGAGCUGCACCCGCUGGUCUUCAGCGAGCCGGCCCGCGCGUGGGAGGAGCGCUUGGAAGCGGUUGGAGAACUCUUCGACCGUACCCGUGCGGCGGCACUCGGAAAGCUCGAACAACGGAGCAGACCGCAACACCGGCCCGAAACGCAGGUUAAGGAGUUCCUUGAAGCGUCCCCAUGGCGGCGUGCCCUCGUCCUCCUGCAGCUGGAUGAACCACAGUUGGGCCACAUCCUCCAAGUUGUAUGACGCCAUCCACACCUUCUCCUCUGGCAUGGUGCGUUGUUGACGGAAGUAUGACUCACACCGAUUGAUGAAAAUCAGCGGGUCGGACUUGCCGUCAAACCUCGGGAAGUCCAUCUUCUGGAACCGCGGGGGGCGAUCCAUGUGGUGCUGACCGUCGUGAUGGGCGCUGGAGUCGGACGACGAGGCCACCUUCUCCUUCAUGCCCGCCAUGUCAGACUGCAUCUUUGACAUGUCGGUGGCCAGGGACUGAAGCAUCUUCAUCAUCUCUGCCAUGGUGGGUUGAGCGUCAUCGCCCAUGGUGGAAGGCGCAGAGGUUGCCGUGGACGAGGAAGGCCGCUGGGGUGGAGGUGAGGCUGCGGUGGAAGAUUGGGUGGGGGUGGUGGAAGAGGACCGACGAGACUGAGAUACCAGGUUGUCAAGGGCUGAGAGCCCGAGAGCAGGGGGACCUCGGCUACGUAGAUCGUAGCCGCUGUCCGUGGUGGCCGGCAGGGUUAUGCCCCCUUGCCGCCGUUCUUCGUCGGUGGGUUAUUCCCCCAGCCACCGGCUUAGGUAGAAGAAGGGGAGAUUAGAUGGUAAUAUCUUUCUUAUCCCAAGAGUUUGAUUACAGCAUAUCUAUAUAGCCUUUGCCUCAGCCAAACAGGUAACAAACUCUACUAAAUAAGGAAUAACCAAAAUAGCUAAAAGAUCUCCUAAGAUCUCCUACCGAGAUCUCCUACUUGCCCUCCAAGCCGAAGCUGGAAACCGUGCCCUGCGUGCCUGCCGCGCGUGCAGCCGCGCGUUCCUGGGCUCGGCGUAUGUCACGGGCCCUAUGACGCCUGGUGUACACUUGUUUGAACAUGACAAUGUGGUUUGUAUUAUUGAUAGCAAAACUCCUGGAUUCCUAGCUUUCUGCUGCAUUAAUAAGAUUUAGUUCAUGUGUGCUAACAGGAG